AGUAUGAUCCAGUCCAGUAAGUGUUGGCAAAGUCCUGUCUGUUCUUUGAAGACUGUGGAAACAUUGUAGAGAUAGUUGUUGGAACAAGAGAGAUGCAUGCAUACCAUUUUCUUUUUUUCCCCAAACCCUUUUAGUUACGCGAAGAAACCCUUGGCUACACCUCCACCAUCCUAUAUUUGCUUUCGCUGUGGAAAACCUGGCCACUAUAUAAAGAACUGUCCAACAAAUGGGGACAGUAAUUUUCAGUCUGUUCGCAGACUUAGAAAGAGCACGGGAAUUCCCAGGAGUUUCAUGGUGGAGGUGGAAGAUCCCAAUACGAAGGGCGCAAUGCUGACACCGACUGGAAGAUAUGCCAUACCAAUUAUUAAUGCGGAAGCUUAUGCCAGAGGAAAGAAGGAGAAGCAUCCCUUUUUACCUGAGGAGCCAUCCUCUUCCUCCCUCUUCUCCUUAGACAAUCGUGUUCCAGAAGAGCUGUUAUGUUUCAUUUGUAAAGAAAUCAUGGCGGAUGCAGUUAUUAUUCCCUGCUGCGGAAACAGUUACUGUGAUGAAUGUGUUAGAACAGCAUUACUGGACUCUGAGGAACAUACGUGCCCAGCAUGUCAUCAGGCAGAUGUUUCUCCUGAUACUUUAGUUGCCAACAAGUUCCUACGCCAGGCUGUGAACAACUUCAAAAAUGGCACUGGUUAUGCACAGAUUAUCCAGAGGCAGCAGCAGCAGCCACUAGCACCUCCACCAGCACCCGUGGCUCUGACCCUUCCUGCUGCACGGGUGCCUGCCACGGAACGUCCUCAACCUUCCCACCUGUCGGUCCGCGGUUUGUGGGAAGAGAAGGUAGGUUUUCUCUCACCAUAUGCAGUGAUUCUUGUGUUUUGAUAGAGCUUAUUUUCCAACUGUUUGCACCAAUUCACAAGGGCUAUCAGGAUCCUGGACUGGGUCAGAGAGCAUUACCAAGUCUUCUGGGCCUCCAAAGACGAUCAAUACCCACAACUGGUCAUCCAGUGAGAGCCGGCAAAAUUCGCUCUGCAAGUGGCAGACCAGACUGGGAAGUGGAAAAGAAAAAGUCCAGACUUGAUGAGUUCACAGAUGGUUCGGGAAGGGAUGGAAUAUAAAGAAGAGUCCAAAGGAGCAUUCGUUUUCCAGGUAACUGCUUUACAUGUCCGCAA